rnacentral:rRNA from 1 species
AUUGAACGCUGGCGGCAGGCCUAACACAUGCAAGUCGAGCGGAUGAGAGGAGCUUGCUUCUUGAUUCAGCGGCGGACGGGUGAGUAAUGCCUAGGAAUCUGCCUGGUAGUGGGGGACAACGUUUCGAAAGGAACGCUAAUACCGCCUACGUCCUACGGGAGAAAGCAGGGGACCUUCGGGCCUUGCGCUAUCAGAUGAGCCUAGGUCGGAUUAGGUAGUUGGUGAGGUAAUGGCUCACCAAGGCGACGAUCCGUAACUGGUCUGAGAGGAUGAGCAGUCACACUGGAACUGAGACACGGUCCAGACUCCUACGGGAGGCAGCAGUGGGGAAUAUUGGACAAUGGGCGAAAGCCUGAUCCAGCCAUGCCGCGUGUGUGAAGAAGGUCUUCGGAUUGUAAAGCACUUUAAGUUGGGAGGAAGGGUUGUACGUUAAUACCGUGCAAUUUUGACGUUACCGACAGAAUAAGCACCGGCUAACUCUGUGCCAGCCGCCGCGGUAA